GAGCAUGUACUCCAAUCGGAAGAGAGAGCUGUCUCAGAAGCAGCUAAGUGUUGGUUCGAAUCCAAUCAUGCUUACCA
rnacentral:tRNA from 1 species